AGCUAGAUGAUGAGCAUGGUUUAUAAAUAUCUCACGAUGGUCAUCUGAGGCAUUCUUGGUGCCUAGAUUGAUGCAAAUCUGUUCUCUGAUGGCU